rnacentral:rRNA from 1 species
AUACGAAGGGUGCAAGCGUUACUCGGAAUUACUGGGCGUAAAGCGUGCGUAGGUGGUUGUUUAAGUCCGUUGUGAAAGCCCUGGGCUCAACCUGGGAAUUGCAGUGGAUACUGGGCAACUAGAGUGUGGUAGAGGAUAGUGGAAUUUCCGGUGUAGCAGUGAAAUGCGUAGAGAUCGGAAGGAACAUCUGUGGCGAAGGCGACUAUCUGGGCCAACACUGACACUGAGGCACGAAAGCGUGGGGAGCAAACAGGAUUAGAUACCCUGGUAGUCCACGCCCUAAACGAUGCGAACUGGAUGUUGGGUUCAACUUGGAACCCAGUAUCGAAGCUAACGCGUUAAGUUCGCCGCCUGGGGAGUACGGUCGCAAGACUGAA